UUUUAACGCUGGCNGCAGGCCUAACACAUGCAAGUCGAGCCGGUAACAUUUCAAAAGCCUUGCUUUUGAAGUAUGACAAGACGGCGGCACGGNUGANAUAAUGCCUAGGGAAACUGCCCAGUCGAGGGGGAUAACAGUUGGAAACNACUGCUAAUACCGCAUACGCCCUACGGGGGAAAGAAGGGGACCUUCGGGCCUUUCGCGAUUGGAUGUACCUAGGUGGGAUUAGCUAGAUGGUGGGGUAAUGGCCUACCAUGGCCACUAUCCCUAUCUGUUCUGAGAGGAUGAUCAGCCACACUGGNACUGANACACGGCCCACACUCCUACGGGAGGCAGCAGUGGGGAAUAUUGCACAAUGGGCNCAAGCCUNAUGCAGCCAUGCCGCGUGUGUNAANAANGCCUUCGNGUUGUAAAGCACUUUCAGCGANGANGAAAGGUUAACUGUUAAUACCCGUUAGCUGUNACGUUACUCNCANAANAAGCACCNGCUAACUUNGUGCCNNCNGCCG
rnacentral:rRNA from 1 species